ACAAGUCCCGAUGGGCAUUGCGGGGAGGCGGGGCCCUGGAAACACCGCCCUUGGUCGCGCAGGGGGCGCUGUGUAUUCUGGGGCUUGUAGUCUUUCCGCAGGGAGAGCCGGAGCGUGCAAGCCGGUUGCUAGGUGACGAGGUCCAAACUGCGCCCUUGAGCACACCCCCUGUCCCGGCUAGUGGCGGAGGUCCCGGCUGAGUAAGCGUGAAGUGGGGGACCCGCCUGGCUUUGUGAGACCUGCCGCACCCGCUGGCUCUGGCAUCUGCUGUGGCUGCGGGUGGAAGUGGGACGGGAGGUUGGCGGCAGGAGCGCCCGCGAAGCCGGCCCGCAGGGUCCUGCCCUGGGAAGAUGGCCUACUAUGGAAAAUGCAUUGAAACUGUCAUUGAGCAAUUGAACAAAUUUCAGCCUGAGAAGGACAGUCCUGAGCAGUUCUUGGAGGCGACAUCCACAGCCCUACAGACUCUGAGCCCCCAGAAGCAGGCAUUCAUUUUGGAGCUGCUGUCUGGGUGCCUCGAGUACUGGAAGCUGAUGGCCGUGGUGGUGGACGCCUUCUACGUGCGGGCCGGCUGGUUGUGCCCACGGGCCGACUAUAGCCUCUUCCAGGUGAUCUGCUACCUGGCCAUGUUCCAGCUGCAGGAGCUUGGCUUUCAGCUCUUCUGUGACAUUGUGAAGGCCCAGCCCGUGGACAAAAUGCACAAGUUCCUUGGGUUCUUCUUCAACCCCUUAAACCUGUGCUCAUGGAUCAAGGAUGAAUGGAGCCUCAUCUAUGAGACCGCCCAUGUGAGAGAGAACUGGAUCGACCCCCUGAUGAGAUGGCAGCCAGAGGUCCAGGAGCUGAUCCACCAGCUGGAGGAAGUGAUGGCCAAUCAGCUCCCUCUUUCAAAGACCAAUGCCAGGGUCACAGAGCCCAAGGAGUUCAACCUGACUGUCCCCAGGCCCCGCGCCAUUCCGGUCCCCGAGCCAGUUCCUGUUGUGGCCAAAUCAAAACCAGUCCCCAGGAGCACCUACCAGCCGCCCAAGGAGCAGCAGCUGUUGGAGAUGGCCAAGAGGUUUAAUCGCUGGAAGGCAGAGGAGCUGCUGCUGCAGGCGAACAUUGAAGAGAUGCGGUGUGCGGUGCCCCGGUCCCAGGGGAAGCCUCCGAUGCAGGCCUCUAAGAAGAAGCUGCAGCUCCAGCUCAUGCCCCAAAUCAUGAAGACCUCAAAGCUGACCUUCUACAAGCCCAGUGAGGUCCCGGUCAAGCUGAACACGGCUGCCAUCCUCCGAGAAGGGUCUCUGUACCAGCAGCAGGUGGAGAAAGAGCUGCAGAGGGUGGAUCAGCUUGUGGACGGGGCCGGGGACUUCUCUGAGUUCCUCGAGUGGCAGAAGAAGAUGCAGGCGAAGGACCGGGAAGAGGAGCUGACUGCGGGCGAGUGCCGGCGGCUGCUGGGGAAGCUGAGCCGCGAGGAGGCCAUCCUGGCCCGGCAGCACGUCAUGCAGGAGAACAAGCAGAAGGCCAACCAGAAGAAGGAGGAGACGGCAGAGCUGCUGCAGCAGUGCGCUGAGAGGCGCCUCCAGGAGGAAAAGUCCAUGAAGGAGCUGGUGGAGCAGGUGACAGAGGCGCAGAAGAACAUCAAGCUGGUGCAGAUGAAGCUCCUGAAGGACCGGAGGCAGACAGUUCAGGAGGUGAUGGAGGAGAGCCGGGAGCUGCUGCAGCGCAGUGCAGAGACAGCCAAGGAGGAACAGAAGCGGCGCUGUGAGCUCAUCUCCCAACUUCGAGCCCUGGAGACCCAGCCUAUGCGCAAGGGAAAGCUUGUGGACCUGACCCAGAUCCCUGGGUAUGGCCUGGAAGGGGAGAUGUCUGUGGUGGAGCUUCGAGAGCGGCUGGCCCUGCUCAAGGAGAGCCAGCGGCGAGAGGAGGAAGAGAAGCGAGACCAGAUCAUCCAGGGCAAGCGCGCGAGAAGCCAGGAACUGCAGAAUAGGAUGGAGCAGAUCUCGCUGUGCCGAGCAGCCAUGGGCAGGUCUGCAGCCCUGAGGUGGGAGGAGAAGAAAGCCCGCUCUGCGGCCCCGGGGGUGUCCUCCCAGGAUGAGCGCGUGCUGGAGCUGCAGCGCAAGGUCGAGGAGAAGGUGGCAGAGCGCCGCCGCAAGCAGGCAACCCUGAAGUCGGUGCCGGCGCCGGCGUCGCGCCCUGCGCGCACUAAGGCAUGGGCGCACCAGGAGCAACAGCACUGGCGGGAUCUGCAGCAAAGCCGCGAGCGCCGGCUGCGAACGCUGCAGCUGAGCACCUCGGCUGCCGGGCACGGGCGCCGCCAGGAGGCCGCCUGAGCCGGGCCGGCGACCCCAGACCCCGCGCAGCCCGCCCAGCCCGCGCAGCAGAGCGUGCGGAAAGCGCAGUGCACCUCCUCUUCCCCGUCCGCGCGCCCAGCUGCACGCCCCCGGCCCCCCAGUGUCCCCCCGCUCCCCGGCCAGAACAGGGCUGCCGGACAAGAUACAAGGCGCCCAGUUACUGCGUGGGACAAACACACUAAACAAAAGAAACAAAUGUGACAUUUCUUACAAGUGUUAUGUGAGAUGGAAAUCCAUUCCACUUGAUUUCAAGGAAAUACACAGACGAUGGCCUGUCCAGAUUCCCUCGGGAGCUCUUCGAGUUUCAAAGGAUGCAUAU